AACCCUUGUCCUUAGUUACCUAGCACGUUAUGGUGGGCGACUCUAAGGAGACUGCCGGUGACAAACCGGAGGAAGGUGGGGAUGACGUCAAGUCAUCAUGGCCCUUACGGCCUGGGCUACACACGUGCUACAAUGGUCGGUACAAAGGGUUGCCAAGCCGCGAGGUGGAGCUAAUCCCAUAAAACCGAUCGUAGUCCGGAUCGCAGUCUGCAACUCGACUGCGUGAAGUCGGAAUCGCUAGUAAUCGCGCAUCAGCCAUGGCGCGGUGAAUAUGUUCCCGGGCCUU
rnacentral:rRNA from 1 species